CCUAUGGAGAGUUAAAACCACUUGAGUAGUUGCGACGAAAAAGAAUUCGAAGAAGUAGGAA
rnacentral:ncRNA from 12 species